UGGGGAAUAUUGCGCAAUGGGGGAAACCCUGACGCAGCAACGCCGCGUGAGCGAAGAAGGCCUUCGGGUCGUAAAGCUCUGUCAUCAGGGACGAAGGAAGUGCCGGUACCUGAGGAGGAAGCGCCGGCUAACUACGUGCCAGCAGCCGCGGUAACACGUAGGGGGCGAGCGUUGUCCGGAAUUACUGGGCGUAAAGGGUGCGUAGGCGGUCUGUUAAGUCAGAUGUGAAAGACCUGGGCUCAACCCGGGAUGUGCAUCUGAGACUGGCGGACUUGAGUGCAGGAGAGGGAAGUGGAAUUUCUAGUGUAGCGGUGGAAUGCAUAGAUAUUAGGAAGAACACCAGUGGCGAAGGCGGCUUCCUGGACUGUAACUGACGCUGAGGCACGAAAGCGUGGGGAGCGAACAGG
rnacentral:rRNA from 2 species